rnacentral:rRNA from 1 species
AUUGAACGCUGGCGGCAUGCCUUACACAUGCAAGUCGAACGGCAGCACGGGAGCAAUCCUGGUGGCGAGUGGCGAACGGGUGAGUAAUAUAUCGGAACGUGCCCAGUCGUGGGGAUAACGUAGCGAAAGCUACGCUAAUACCGCAUACGAUCUAUGGAUGAAAGCGGGGGAUCGCAAGACCUCGCGCGAUUGGAGCGGCCGAUAUCAGAUUAGGUAGUUGGUGAGGUAAAGGCUCACCAAGCCGACGAUCUGUAGCUGGUCUGAGAGGACGACCAGCCACACUGGGACUGAGACACGGCCCAGACUCCUACGGGAGGCAGCAGUGGGGAAUUUUGGACAAUGGGCGCAAGCCUGAUCCAGCAAUGCCGCGUGCAGGAUGAAGGCCUCGGGUUGUAAACGU